UACGUAGGGUGCGAGCGUUGUCCGGAAUUAUUGGGCGUAAAGGGCUCGUAGGCGGUUUGUCACGUCGGGAGUGAAAACUCAGGGCUCAACCCUGAGCCUGCUUCCGAUACGGGCAGACUAGAGGUAUGCAGGGGAGAACGGAAUUCCUGGUGUAGCGGUGAAAUGCGCAGAUAUCAGGAGGAACACCGGUGGCGAAGGCGGUUCUCUGGGCAUUACCUGACGCUGAGGAGCGAAAGUGUGGGGAGCGAACCGG
rnacentral:rRNA from 1 species